AAGCAGAUCGGCGGCCGCGGGGAGGUUCGGGGCGGCGCAGCCCCGCGCGGUUGUGGGAUCGCUCCCGGGGGCCGCUCCUCUCUCGGGCACUGGGGUCGCGGGAGACGUCGUCGGGAGCUCGGUUUCUGGAGGCCCUUCCCCACCCGGCCUCUGCCUCCUCCACUCCCCCGGGCUGGACGGAACGGGGCCCAGCGCGGGAUGCGAGGUGCGUCCCCGGGGCCCGCAGCGGGCGGGAGCGCAGCCAGGGCCCGGUCGGGGACGCAGGCCCAGGGCGCUGAGGCUGCACCUGCCUCUCCGAAACCGGGCUGGCUCUUUUUGUCUUUUUAUUUUUCUAAUUUAUUUUUUUAGAGGUAUGAUUUCGCUCUGUCGCCCAGGCUGGAGGGCAGUGGCGCAAUCUCGGCUCACUGCAGCCUCGAACUCCUAGGCUGAAGCGAUUCUCCCGCCUCAGCCUCCAAAGUAGCCGGUACUACAGGCGCGCGCCACCACGCCUGGCUAAGGGUCUUACUAUGUCACCCAGACUGAAGUGCAGUGGCAUGAUCACAGGUCAUUGCAUCCUCAACCACCCAGACUCAAGCAAUCCUCCUGUCUCAGCCUUCCAAGUAACUGAGACCACAGACAAAGCCUCACUCUGUCACCCAGACUGGAGUGCAGUGGUAUAAUCAUAGCUCACUACAGCCUUGACCUCCUGAGCUCAAGCAGUCCUCCUGUCUCAGCCUCCCAAGUAGCUGGGAUGACAGUGUGCACCACCACACCCAGCUAAUUUUUUUUUUUUUGGUCUUGCUGUGUUGCCCGGGCUGGACUCAAGUGAUCUUCCCUUCUCAGCCUCUCAAAGUGCUGGAAUUACAGGCAUGAGCCACCGUGCCCAGCCAGAGAAAUAACCAUGGAUAUGGGUAGAGACAGAGCCAUAUGGAAUGCACACUGCAGUGGUGAACACAUGGCCCAGCUCUGCCAUCAAGGAGAAGGUGAGAACAUGGGGGAAGAUUUUAUCGAAGUUUCUUUUCUGGGGCAUAUGCUCAGGUUAAACACCUGCUCUGUAUCUCUAGCUUCUGACUCCUACCCCUGGCCAGCUCUGUUACUCUAGUACACUGCUAGGCAGGCAGAGUAUGGCCAAAGUAUUCACAACAGUGCAUCACUAAAUCAACUGGGAUCCACACAAUGGAAUAUCCUAAUGCAUCAUUAAAAAUCACAUUGUAAAAGAAGAUUUUAUAACAGAAAAAAAUGCACUGUAUAUGAUACAUUUUUAAAAUGUUACUUAUGCCAGUCACAAUAAAAGACAAUUACACUUAUAUGGGAUAGAGUAGUCAAUAUUAUAGAGACAGAAGGUAGAAAUGGGUCUGGGUGGAAAUUAGAAUGAGAUGUUCUUAGCAUUCCAGUUUUACAAGAUGAAAAGAGUAACGGAGACAGAUGGCAGUGGUGGUUGCAUGACAUUAUGAAUGUACAUAAUUAAAAAUGGGUAAGAUGGCACAGUGAGAUACCAUCUCACACCAGUCAAAAUGGCUAUUACUAAAAAGUCAAAAAAAUAACAGAUGCUGGGGAGCUUGUAGAGAAAAGGGAAUGCUUAUACACUGCUAGUGGCAGUGUAAGUUAGUCCAGCCACUGUGGCAAUUCCUCAAAGAACUUAGAACUAUCAUUUGACCCAGCAAUCCCAUUACUGGGUAUAUACCCAAAGGAAUAUAAAUUGUUCUGCCUUAAAGACACAUGCAUGUGAUUGUUCAUUGCAGCACUCUUUAUAAUAACAAAGACAUGGAAUCAACCUAAAUGCUCAUCAACAGUAGACUGGAUAAAGAAAAUGUGGUUCAUAUACACCAUGGAAUACUAUGCAGCCAUAAAAAAGAAUGAGAUUAUUUCCUUUGCAGGAACAUGAAUGGAGCUGGAGGCCAUCAUCCUUAGUGAACUAACACAGGAGCAGAAAACCAAAUACCACAUGUUCUCAUGUGUAAGUGGGAGCUAAAUGAUGAGAACACAUGGACACAAAGAGGGGAACAACAGACACUGAAGCCUCCUUGAGGGAGGAGGGUAAGAGGAAGGAGAAGAUCAGAAAAGAUAACUACCAGGUACUAUGGUAGCUUAGUACCUGGGUGAUGAAAUAAUCUGUACACCCAACCCUCAUGACAGAAGUUUACCUGUGUAACAAACCUGCACAUGUAUCCCUGAAACUAAAAGUUUUUUAAAAAGUUAUUUAAUAUAUAUAUAUUUUUUUGAGACGGAGUUUUGCUCUUGUUGCCCAGGCUGGAGUGCGGUGGCGCAAUUUCGGCUCACCACAACCUCCGCCUCCCAGGUUCAAGCUAUUCCCCUGCCUCAGCCUCCCUAGUAGCUGGGAUUACAGGCUUGUGCCACCACGCCGGCUAAUUUUGUAUUUUUUGUAGAGACGGGGUUUCUCCAUGUUGGUCAGGCUGGUCUCGAACUCCCGACCUCAGGUGAUCCACCCCCCUCGGCCUCCCAAAGUGCUAGGAUUACAGGCAUGAGCCACUGCGCCCGGCAAAAAGUUAUUUAAUAUUAAUGGGACAAUACUCAUUGCAAGAAUCAGACUUCAAUUGCUAGCAUAAGUAAAUGACAGGCAGGAGAUAUUGAAAAUGCAAUCUUAUAGACAUUCAAGGAGAGGACGCAGGACAUUUCUGUGUCAUAAAUGUACUAUGGAAAAUAAAAAUGAGAAAAAUGGAAAUAAAAUACAAGAAAAGGUUAUGAUAAAUUUCAUAUUAUUUUACCACAAUAAAAAAAUUUUAAUAAAUUAUAAAUGGUGUGAUAUGUUUUGCCUGUGUUCCACCCAAAUCUCAUCUUGAAUUAGAGCUCCCACAAUUCCCACGUGUUGUGGCUGGGACCCUGUGGGAGAUAAUUGAAUCAUGGGGGCAGUUUACCCCAUACUGUUCUCUUGGUGGUGAAUAAGUCUCAUGAGAGUUGAUGGUUUGAUAAGGGGUUUCCCCUUUUGCUUGGCUCUCAUUCUCUCUUGACUGCCACCAUGUAAGAUGUGCCUUUUGCCUUCCACCAUGAUUGUGAAGCCUCCCAGCCACAUGGAACUGUGAGUCCAUUAAACCUUUUUCUUUACAAAUUA